AAAGAACAAAAUAAAAUAAAAAGUAAACAUAAAAUAGACCAAAAGCUAUAUCAAAACAAUAAAAAAAAGGGGUGUGGUGGUACUUAGAUAAGAGAAGGGGUGAAAAAGGAGAAAAACAGAGGUGUACAAACCAAAAUUUUUAUAGCAGACUGGGCCGAAGCCCAAGUGGAUAUAGGGUGAAAAUAUGAAUAAAGGGGGCGCAGCAAAGUUUUUUUUUUCAUAGACAGACUGGGCUUGAGCCCAAAGAGAAGGGGGGUGCGAAAUGGAAGCAAAGGGGUUGCAGGGAGGAAAAGCAAAUCAAUUUUUUGUUCUUUUUUUUCUUUAAGGAAUGGAAUGGGUCUGAGCCCAGACCAAGGGAACAGGUAUGAGGGGUGCGCGGGUGAAAAAUCGGGGGUGCGCGCAGGAGAAAAUGUUUUCUUUCAUUUAUAUUUUUGUUUUUUUAGAAAAAAAAAAAAAAAAAAAGCUUUGACCCAAGACCCUUUCGUUCAGAAACAACGGGUUCUACCAGCUUCUUCCCAUUUCACCAUUUGCGUUCAACAUCAAAGAGACACAGGUCUCUUCCUCUAAACAAAAUCCCAGGGGAAAGGUAACUCCGCCAUUUCACACACUCACUCUGUCUAUGACCUAAGAGUCACUACCUGCAACACCUAUUUCCUCCGCCAUCAAUGGCGUCGCCGGUGACGACGCGCGACGCCGGAGCCGCUGUCAACUCCGACACCAGGCCCUACCGGGGCAACCGCCAGCCGCGCUGUUGAUCUUCGAGCUCGAACUGAGAUGCCGCCGGCGACACAGGUCGCCACCGCUCAUCACCGGGACCUCGUUCCUUCACGCCCCGUCAUCGCCGCUUCCACGAGGCUAGCCGCCACCGCCACCGUCUAUAACAGAAGGGAAACCCUUCCCCGCAGGUCAAACUGAAACGUGCUGCCACUCCUUCAACCCUAAGAUGAGUCCUCUCCUCUUUUUGUUAAUUUAAUUUCAUCCGAAUGGAGAUUGAAGAAAGGUUUCUUUGUUUUCUGUCACGUUUGGAUUGGAUCCUUUUUUUUUUUUUGCAGAUAAAUGGAAUCGGGAUUGUGUGAGGGAUUUUCUGAUUUUGCUUAGCUUCCUUCCUGUGUGUCCGUGGGCGUUGUUUUCGUUUUCCAUUGUAGGUGAAGGAGAAACAGGGGUGAAUGGCAGUUCUGAUAAAGAUGAGGAUACUGGUUCUGUCGUCUGUUGUGAUUGUGGUUGAAGAUUAUGAGAAGUUAGUUUAUGGCUUGCUGGUAUUUCUUUAGUAGGGGAAAUUUGGGAUAGGAAGAUGAUGGAUCUGUCGUUAAUAGGUCAGGCUUUUCUCUCGCAGGAAGAUGGCUUUAGAGGUUUGGAUGGUAUGAGUCAAAGUUGAUGAUGGUGAUGGGAUUGAAGAGUGGUGAAGAUUCAUACACAGGCGGCAUAGCAAUAGCAAGUAUAAAGCGCAAUAACAAGCAUAAAUUGUUGUCUAUAAUACAACAAACUUACUCUACUAUACCUGCGAAUGUGAAUAAGCAAUGAAGUUGCUUACCUCUCGGAGCUCAUGUGCUAUUGCCUAGCGUCUUCGGUGGCUUUUAUGUCGGCAUUUUUGCUCUUCCUGUAACCCCUUUUCUUCAAAUGAAGCACCACUUCUUACCACUUCUUUUUCUUUUCUUUGUGGUAUUGGACACCAAGCUCUGGUAGAGAUAGUGAUUGAUAUGGUGAGGAUAAUGAAGAGUGUAGCUGUGAGAGAUGAUUAUCGGAUGUUUUUUUUUGUUUUUGUAUAAAAAUGGCUUUGGAGGUUUUUUGAUAGGUUGGAAGAUGGAUCUUUCUUUUUGGUGGAGUGAACGGUCUUUCUUCAGUAUUAUUUUUUUUCUCUGUGAAGAUCAAGGAGAGGGUGUUCUUUUUUUUGAUUGCCUCCGAUAUUGGAGGUGAGGACCCCUCUGUUUAGGCUGCCAUUUUUUCUCUUUUUUUUUUCAAUGAAUUUUCAAAUUUUUUUCCUUUUGCA